CCCGCAGGCGGGAGGGUGCGUUUGGUGUGACAGCUCGUGGCUUCACUACGAGAGGAUACCAAAGACGGCCGUUCUUGAGGGCCAGAGAGGGACCUGGAAGUCCGGGUGGAGCGGUGAAAUGCGUAGAGAUCCGGAGGAACACCGAAAGCGAAGGCAGGGUCCUGGCUGGUACCUGACGCUCGUGGGCGAAAGCUAGGGGAGCGAAG
rnacentral:rRNA from 1 species